rnacentral:rRNA from 1 species
AACGACGCUGGCGGCGUGCCUAAGCCAUGCAAGUCGAACGGGUUGUCGCAAGACAAUCAGUGGCGAACUGGUGAGUAAUACGUGGGUAAUCUGCCCGAGAGUGGGGAAUAGCCCUUCCAACGAGGGGGUAACACCGCAUAUUAUCGCGAAUCCGCAUGGAUUUGCGAUGAAAACAGGGGAUCGCAAGACCUUGUGCUCUCGGAUGAACCCGCGCCCCAUUAGCUAGUUGGUGAGGUAACGGCUCACCAAGGCGACGAUGGGUAGCCGGCCUGAGAGGGUGACCGGCCACACUGGGACUGAGAUACGGCCCAGACUCCUACGGGAGGCAGCAGGCGGGAAUAUUGGGCAAUGGACGAAAGUCUGACCCAGCGACGCCGCGUGAGGGAUGAAGCUUCUCGGAGCGUAAACCUCAAACGGAUAGGGACGAAAAGCCUAUCGGCUAAUAUCCGGUAGGCCUGACGGUACCUGUUACGAAGCUCCGGCUAACUCCGUG